rnacentral:rRNA from 1 species
CAACCCGGCUGGAGUUAUGUCCAGUCAUCCUUAACUGAAUACAUAGGUUAGGGAAGCGAUACCCAGGGAAGUGAAACAUCUCAGUACCUGGAGGAAAAGAAAUCAAACGAGAUUCCGGUAGUAGCGGCGAGCGAACUCGGAACAGCCAAAACCAUAUAGUUUACUGUAUGGGGUUGCGGGACUUUUGAUGGAUGAGUGACGAUAGCGUAAUCGUUUGGAAAAUCGAACCACAGCGGGUGAUAGUCCCGUGCGCGAAAUCAGAGUGAUUCCUGUAAGUAUCCCAAGUAGGGCCGGACACGUGAAACCCGGUCUGAAUCAGGGGGGGCCACCCUCCAAGGCUAAAUACUCGUUGGUGACCGAUAGUGAACCAGUACCGUGAGGGAAAGGCGAAAAGAACCCCGGCAAGGGGAGUGAAAUAGAACCUGAAAUCAUGUACUUACAAAGUGUAGGAGCCUUUCGGGGUGACUGCAUGCCUUUUGCAUAAUGAGUCUGCGACUUACUGUAUACGGCAAGGUUAAGUGUUAAUCACGGAGCCGAAGCGAAAGCGAGUUUUAAUAGAGCGAUUUAAGUCGUAUGCAGUAGACCCGAAACUGAGUGAUCUACCCAUGAGCAGGUUGAAGCUCGAGUAACAUCGAGUGAAGGACCGAACCAGGACAUGUUGAAAAAUGUUUGGAUGACUUGUGGGUAGGGGUGAAAGGCCAAUCAAACUCAGUGAUAGCUGGUUCUCUUCGAAAUAGCUUUAGGGCUAGCCUUGUGCAGUAGCACACGGGGGUAGAGCUACUGAUUUUUCGCGGGCCCCUACCGGGGUACCAACAAAUAUCAAACUCCGAAUACCGUGUGUGUAACCACAGGAGUCAGUCUAUGUGAGAUAAGUUGCGUAGACAAGAGGGAAACAGCCCAGACCGUCAUCUAAGGUCCCUAAUAUAUGCUAAGUGGUAUGAAGGAUGUGGAGUUGCUUAGACAGCCAGGAUGUUGGCUUAGAGGCAGCCACCAUUUAAAGAGUGCGUAAUAGCUCACUGGUCGAGUGAUUCUGCGCCGAAAAUGAUCGGGACUUAAGCAUAUAACCGAAGAUACGGGUGGCACAUUAGUGCCGCGAUAGAAGAGCGUUCUGUACAGGAGAGAAGUUGCGGGGGGACCCGUGUUGGACCGUACAGAAGUGACCAUGCAGACAUAAGUAACGAAAAACAGGGUGAGAAUCCCUGUCACCGAAAUUCCAAGGUUUCCCGGGGAAGGUUCGUCCGCCCGGGGUUAGUCGGGACCUAAGGCGAGGCCGAAAGGCGUAGUCGAUGGAUAACAGAUUAAUAUUUCUGUACUGCUUUAUCUGAGUGAUGGAGGGACGCAGCAGGUUAGGCUGGCUUCUUAUUGGAUUGAAGUCUAAGGAUGUAGGCUUUCAUGUAGGUAAAUCCGCAUGAUAUACGGCCGAGACCCGAAAGGCGUUAGUACUUCUUCGGAACGAACGCGAACAGUCGAUACCACACUGCCAAGAAAAGCUUCUAAACGUUGAAGAUAAAGUACCCGUACCGUAAACCGACACAGGUGGAAUGGUCGAGUAGACUAAGGUGCGCGAGAGAAACCACGUUAAGGAACUCGGCAAAUUGGCCCCGUAACUUCGGGAUAAGGGGUGCCUAAUGAGGUGAGAAGACUUGCUCUUCAAAGCUUCUAUAGGUUGCAAUAAAGAGGCUCAGGCAACUGUUUAGCAAAAACAUAGCACUCUGCUAACUCGUUAAGAGGAUGUAUAGGGUGUGACACGUGACCAAUGCCAAAAGGUCAAAAGGAGAGGUUAGUCUUCGGACGAAGCUUCGAAUUGAAGCCCUGGUGAAUGUCGGCCGUAACUAUAACGGUCCUAAGGUAGCGAAAUUCCUUGUCGGGUAAGUUCCGACCUGCACGAAUCGUGUAAUGAUCUGAGCACUGUCUCAACGUGGAUCUCGGUGAAAUUGUAAUUCCGGUGAAAAUGCCGGGUACCCGCAGCAGGACGGAAAGACCCCAUGAACCUUUACUGUGAUCUGAUAUUGGCAUUCGGGUUUGCAUGUGUAGCAUAGGUGGGAGGCUGUGAAUUAAGUUCGUCAGGAUUUAAGGAGCCACCAAGUGAAAUACCACCCUUGUAAAUCUGGAUGUCUAACCAUGAACCCGUCUAUCCGGGCAUGGGACAGUUUCAGAGUGUCAGUUUGACUGGGGCGGUUUCCUCCCAAAAAGUAACGGAGGAGCUCAAAGGUACACUCAGCACGGUCGGCCAUCGUGCGUAGAGCGUAAGGGUAUAAGUGUGCCUUACUGUAAGACCGACGGGUCGAGCAGUUGCGAAAGCAGGACCUAGUGAUCCAGCGGUGGAAAGUGGUAUCGCCGUUGCUCAUCGGAUAAAAGGUACUCUGGGGAUAACAGGCUGAUCGCGCCCAAGCGUCCAUAGCGACGGCGCGGUUUGGCACCUCGAUGUCGGCUCAUCACAUCCUGGGGCUGAAGAAGGUCCCAAGGGUUCGGCUGUUCGCCGAUUAAAGUGGUACGCGAGCUGGGUUCAGAACGUCGUGAGACAGUUCGGUCCUUAUCCGCUGUGGGCGUAGGAUAUUUGACGGGAGCAUUCCUUAGUACGAGAGGACCGGGAAUGAGUGACCUCUGGUGUUCCAGUUGUGCCGCCAGGUGCAGUGCUGGGUAGCUAUGUCGCGAAAGGAUAAGCGCUGAAAGCAUCUAAGCGCCAAGCCCCCCCGAAGACUAGAUAUCCCAAGAUUUAUCUUCUGAAGGCAGGUUGAAGACUACGACCUCGAUAGGCUGGAGAUGUAAGCACGGUAACGUGUUCAGUUUACCAGUACUAAUCAGCCGUGAGGCUUGACC